CGACAUGUCACGUGACGUGUCAAGUUUGACACCUGUGGCUUAAUCAUUCUUGACAGCGCAAAAAGACAGAAGUGCUUUUCAUUGACAAGGAUUAAUGUCAUGCUAGUUAUGGUCUAGUGAUGAGGAUAACCCAGCAGUUCAAAGAUUCUGUCCACAUCAAUCCCUUGAAUUUAUGAAACAUAAUUGUUGUAUUGCAACUUCUAUAAAGUAGCCAGAGAAAGUUUCCCACAAUGGAAGAAUGGCUGGAAAAAUGAGAGGACUAGCAAAGAUGGCUAUCUUAAGUAUACGUUUUGAGGGUAUGGAUGGGAAUGAACAGGAACAGAAUAUCAACCCUAGCAUGACCAAGUGACUAUUGGGAGCUUCUGUAUCUGAAGAUUUUUCAUCUUUGUCUCUGAAUGGGGCAACUCUCUCAAGAAAUGACACACAAUUGGAUGUCACCUUGGGCUCUCAGGUUCAGUCCACAUUAGGUAUGAUUCAGUCUAUAACUCUGUGAUCACCUAACCAACACAGUACAUAUGUUGACCUGAAGAGAUCAAGGCAAUGACCAAAAUGAUUAAUGAAAAGACUAUUUCCAGUUAAGAAAUCAGAAACCAAACUUUGGAUUCAAUUCAAGGAGUAGAAAAAAGGAAGCAUCUGGAGGAGUUAAAAGAAAGCUUAAAGCAAUAUUCGUCUGAGUAACGUAAACUCGUUUUAAAAAUUAGAGUCUUUUUUUUUUCAAGGUUAAUAAAGAAAUUGGGAUUUAUUACUGUUAGUCAUUCUUUAAUUACGAAAGCAUCUUUUACCUCUCCUGAUAUGUCUCCAGAAUAGUAGUGUUUAUAAACUGCACAAUUAAAUUUUACACAUUAAAAUAAUACUUGCCUUCUAUUGAAAAGUUUAGAAAUGGCUCAUAUGAUAUAUGAUAUAUAUCAUAUACACCUAUAAACAAUAAUGUAUUAGGUUAUGAUUUUACAUCCCGUCUCUCUGAGAUGGUCUCAGACUAGAGAACGAGUUCUAUUCUGGAAGGUGCCUUCAUAUUUUCAUGCUCUGGGAUGUGUAACAAACACACUUGAAAGCCAAUGUGGGCUUUUAAGGGAAGAUAAAUACCGCAGAGAAAAUGGCCAGAAAACCCUACUGGGUUUCAGCCAGUGUUUUAAACAAAUGCUAAUAAAACAUCACAGAUAACAGAUUCUGGAUUUUCCUAACAGAAACAGCAAUUUGACACUGAAAUCAA